rnacentral:piRNA from 1 species
UUUAAGGAGAAUUAUCCUCUGCCUAGGACGU